rnacentral:piRNA from 1 species
GCAGAGAUCUGUGAGACCUUUACCCGGGAC